GGCGGCGCGUCUUAAACAUGCAAGUCGAACGAUCUGUAGCAAUACAGGGAGUGGCGGACGGGUGAGGAACACGUAGGAAUCUACCUCGAAGAGCGGGACAACUUUGGGAAACCGGGGCUAAUACCGCAUAGUACAGAGAUGUUAAAGGGCUAGCAAUAGUCGCUUCGAGAUGAGCCUGCGGUCUAUCAGCUUGUUGGUGAGGUAAUGGCUCACCAAGGCAACGACGGAUAGCCGGUCUGAGAGGAUGAUCGGCCACACUGGCACUGAAACACGGGCCAAACUCCUACGGGAGGCAGCAGUUAAAAAUCUUGCGCAAUGGGGGCAACCCUGACGCACCGACCCCGCGUGAAGGAUGAAGGCUUUCGGGUUGUAAACUUCGGUAGACUGGGAAGAAAAACUACGUUCGUUGAGGGCGUAAAGUGACGGUACCAGUCUGAAGCCCCGGCUAAUUACGUG
rnacentral:rRNA from 1 species